UCGAGGUUGUCAGCCAGAGCAGAUGAGCGGGGCUGUGCUGGAGGCUUCAUCACGCCUCCAGGUGACCUCAGACACCAGAUAACCGCCUGCUUGAUGGGAGACAGGAGGGCGGUUUGUCACCAAGAGAUUUAGGCAGCGUUACGCUACAAAGGAACAGAGGGUUGGCCCCUGUGGACGUGGUUGGAGAAGUGGGACGAACUACAAGAAGCCGCCUUGGUCCCGUCCCAUGGACAGCUGCGUCUUUGGGCAGUUCUCCAGCCACAGUCCCUGGUCCGGGAUCUGCCCGUCCCUGCCCUGUGGGCAGCUCUGCUCUGCAGCGGGUUGGCAGUGACGGAGUGAAGGUGGGAGGGGGAAGAGAGGGGAUGAGGAGCGUGGGUACUGCUGCAGUUCCCACCCGGGCAGUGCUUGUUCUCGGCAGUACUGAAAUCCGCAUCGGCAGGAGCUGGGUUGCUCUGGGAGCAUCUGGAUCCAUGGUCCCUUCCGGAGCGGAGCAGCAGCCACGUGCUCUGGGGUCUGGGAUCAGCAGGCUGUGGGCCAUCUCCAAACUGGUGCCAGGCAGCACGGCCCCGCGUGUCUUACAGGGUGAGUGUUCCGCAAUCACUUGAGCUUUAAGAGAUUAUUAUUUUUGGGGUGGCCUCAAACUCCCUGGGCUGUAAAAAGCUCCAUGUUUGAGAAUCAGCGACAUUAUCUCAGAUCCCAACCCAAACAAAGGGGGAUUUAGGCUCGCUAGUCUCCUGCUUCCAUCCCCCACUGUGCUCUGUGUCAUUUUAUCCAGUUAGCAGCAAUCAGGUCCUGCGGCCCAGGAGACAUCAGUGGCGUUUCAUUGCUGUGCAUCAGCCAGCACAUCCUGCAGAAGCGGGAGGGGAUGUCAGGUUGGUCAUGGUGUCCGUGCUCUGAAAAUGCAGCUGGUUCCAGUGCGGGUCUGUGCAGCGCUCUGCUCACAUCGCAGAGCACGUCUGGUGCAUGCUCCAUCCAGGAGGCAGCUUGUGCCUCAUUGCACGUGCCUGCAGGGCCGUGUGCUCGCUGCUCCACACGAGAAUAGUGCUUGGGCCAUGCUUGCAUGCAUGUGUGCUGCCAGCAUCAUGCAGAUCCCUUCCUCAUUGCUUGCUCUGGAGUUCAGCUCCGGUCUCGCUGCCAGCCUGCACCCCUGCAAAAACGGCUGUGCCCAGGCAUGGGGGGGUUACCGUAUCCCCCAGCAGAUCCCCACAGCCCUGCCACACACAGCCCUGCCCCACGGCAGACCCCCACGGCAGAGCCUCUGCCCCACCAGCCUCCGUCUCCCUUUGGCCGGAGGGAGUCAGGUUACGCUCCCCAUCCCUGCGAGUGAAAGAACCCACCUGUGUCUGCGGGGCCUGUUUGGGAUUCCUGGGAAACUUUAACCUCUAUUAAUACCGCUAAAUUAUUUCUUCAUAUGGCAAAGUACUUAUGUAAACCGAUCCCCUCCCGCCUUCCCCUCCUGGCUCGGAGGAGGCAGCACUCGCUCAGAUGGAUCUACCUGCUCUCGGGGGGCUUUCAAACCCUCCACAUUCCUCUGCGGCACUGCUUCUUGUUGCAGGAGGACGUGCGCUUGCUGGAAGCGAGCACGUGAUGGGAAAGGGGGGAGAGAAAGAAGAAGGAAGGGAGGAUUGAGAUCACCAAAGUAAUUGGCUCGGAGGCCUCUGGAGCAGCAGCAGGUUGGGGCGUACAUUUGUCUGUCUCUCCGUCAAGUUGUGCCGAGCCCAUGUCUGCCUCGGACUUCCCCAGAGCUGGAGUAAAUUAGGAGUAGGCUCACCGGGGUCAAGUGGGCUUAGUUGUCAUUUACACCAACACCUUUUCAUACAUUACGCCAGCUUCCAGUGCUGCCAGACGGGUGCGAAGGGACCUUCGUGGAAAUGAGAACCAGGCCCCGGAGGCUGUUUUGCCAGGGCAGCACCCGAUAUCCCCAGCCACGAGCAUUCAGAUCAUGGGACUACCCUGAAAUAAUGCCAAUUUAAACCUUUUUUUUUUUUUUUUCCUGGUCUUACGGAUUCUACCCUUGGCUGCAAAGCCUAAAAAUGUUCUUCUUUAAAUGUGAACAAAUAAAUGAAUGAUGAAACGUGUCAUGAAAUCACGGGACUCCAGCAGAUGGGGCUCAAAGAAAGGAAUGCCAAAAAAGGAGGAAACUGACGGUGCUGCUGGGUGCCACUCCAGGCAAGAUCACACCUUUCCCAUGGGCAGGACGUCUCGCUGCAUUUUGCCUUUCUCCUGGCUGCCACUUGGGUGACAAUUCUUGGUUUUCAGGCACGUACAGCCUGGCCAAAGCUGUCAGGCAAACAGUCCUGAGACCCACUCAGGACUGGCUCCACUGCAGGGCAGCCAGAGUUGGCCUUCAACCUAGUGGAAGCCCAGAGCCACAAGUAGUGUAGUACUCUCACAAAGGACAUUGGCUUUUCAAACCCAAGAGCAGAAGAAGAUGGAAAAACGAGUGAAAAAUUCGGCAAGGUUUUAACCCUGCGCUCUCCCAACAGGUGUUUUCUUUGGCUUGGCUUUACAGCCAGAGCUGAGAUUUGAAAUUCCACCCAAACUUGGAAAUUCAAAACCCAUUUUCCACUUCUGCAAUCACUCGUUCUGCAAAGCAGAGGAGAAGAGACUUGCAAAACCUUUUGACUUGAGGUUUGCAGCAGGCCAGAAGUCAGCCUUUGGGGGGCUCACAGUUGGUCUGAGAAGAGGAGAACUUCUGUGUCCCCAUAAUUCAGCUGUGCAGAGCUUCUCACUGAAUUACCCUUGUGUAAGACAACCAAUGCAGUCCGUGUUAAGAGUCAUGCCAGAAAGAAGGCUUCUCUUAGCCUCCACAAUGUGUGGUCGUAUGCGGUAAUGCAAAAUUAGUGCGAGAAUAUGGGACUUUAGGAAAGCCAGCUGUGUUGUCGGGGCUUGGUCUGCUGGUUGGCUUCAGCCCGAAGAAAGAGUUCAUUGCCAGCAUCCGCAGGCGACAGGGAAAGUCUGAUCUCUGUGCUAUAUUUCAGCAAUGCAAAAAGCUGGAUAGAUGCUUUUGUUUCAGUUUACAUGCCCUAUUCCAAGUGAAUGAAAAAGGCCACUCAAACCAGAGCCCCUCUGCCUUCUGCAUGUGUUUUCUUUAAGUCUGACUGAAUCUGUGUUCCCGCAUUGCUCCACCUCCUACCAACAACAGUGCGGUCAGUGGAGAGGGAAGUUGCUGAGAAUGGUCCCUGCUUUGUCCAGAUGCCAAAUCAAUGCAUCUCGUCCUGCCCUGCUCCCGGCACUGAGGGCAGAACAUUGCUGAGAGCGGGCUGGAGAAAACUGAGGGAUGUCCUACAGGUGAGGAAAGGAACAGCAACGGGUCUGAGGGACCUGCGACUGCCCCGUGCAGCACGUGAGUAUGGGCUGGAGCGGCCGCCCUGGGCACUGCGAGCCGCUUUGGGAUUGCUGCUUUGAGAUCAGGGCUUUCUGGAAUGGGUAUUUACCCAGCGCAGGGCAUCGGGUUAAGUCUGGACAAAUGGAGACACUGGAAUUACUGAGUAAAAUGUCCUGGCCUGUCUUCUGCAGGAGGUCAUCUAGAUGAUCUGUUUGUCCCUCCUGGCCUUUAAAUCUACUAAUCUAUUUUCCCUUCCAGGAAAUAUAACUACGUUCUGAGAACAACAGCCCCUUAGGAAAAAAAAAAUAAGGAAAGAAAGCACGCCUUUGAAAAACAACAGCAAAGAAAAAAACCCUUCAACUAUAAAAUAAACUAAGGUACAAGAUGCAAUUAACAAUGCACAAACAGCAGAGCCUGGAAUGUAAAUUGUAUUUAAAUAGGGCUGUGAAGAAUGUUUCAGUCCCCUAAAUGGCUUCUCUCUCCUGCUGCCUUGAACCUCCAAUCAAGCCCUGCCUGGGAGUAAUUUGGUGCUGGAAAUUGUUGCCACACGAACAGCUGAAGGCUGGCAGGGUCACCGGCCCCCCGUGUCACACCCUGUCAUUUUAGAUUAAGAUAUGCAAAGGCGACACGGCUGCGAACUUUCCCUUUGCUGCUGUGGCUGCGUCCAUCCCCUCGGCUGUAAUGAGAGGAAGGCGUAAUUGGAGUCAACUGCUUGAUUAUGAUAAUUGCUACUGUCUGGGGGAAGAAACAUUUGAGUCCCAGAGCUUGAUCCGCACCGCACCUUUAGGGUGAUUGCUGUCUGUUUGCCGGCAGAUGGGCCCUGCAGAGAGCAUCCCUUGGCCCCGCGCCGGCCCCUGACCCCAACCCGGCCACUUGUUGGCUCCCGAUCCCGCAGGGUCAGGGGGCGUUGGGCUGCUCUCUGCCUCCCAGCGGAGCGUCGCUCCUGAAGGAUUUAUCCCCUCCGAGGGAAAGGGCCUUUUGGAAAUAUAUCCCCAGCUCUUCGCGGCAGAGAUGAGGUGCCGUAUAUUUUCCGCUGGGAUAUUUAUCGCUUUCAUUGUAUGUCCCUGCAGCAAUCUGUGGGAAAUGCCUCCUGGCAGCUUGGCGGUCAGUCCGCCAGCAGGGAUGGCCCCGGGCUCGGGGCAGAGGGGUGGCAAUGAGGAGACGAGCGCUCGGUGCUCGGAGCACCUGGCAGGGCUCGGUGCCAGCACCUCCCAGUGACUCUGUCUCUUUGCAUCGGUGCCGGUAACCUGCCCAGCAGCGGGGUGAGCACAGAGGCACGUAAAGCCCAUGUGUGUAAUUAAGGUGGCAAGAGGCAUAUCAUUAAUUAACGGCUAUUAUUUGUUAAUAUCAAGCCUUAAGUGCAAAGCUCAACUCUAGCUGUGAAGCAGUAAGCACAGCCUGAGCGACAAUAGUAACCAGCCAACGAAGUAAUUGGGUAGUUAUUUCCGCGAUAUCUUAAAAGUUUAACAAGAUUUUCUUUUCUAAAACGUUCACAUUCCAAGGCGUGGAGGGGAAAGCACUGCCUGCACGGGGGGAACGAUGUAAAAAUCAUUGAAAACAGAGCAGGGCUGCAGGUGCCGGGGUGGGUUUUCUUCUGAGCACGGAGCUGUGCCCCGUCAGCAGCCAGGCGUGCAGGUUGGGUCUGUGCCAUGCUGGUCGUGCGCAGGGCGGGUGGGUAGGGGAGGCACAGGCAGCUCGUUCUUAUUCUGCUACGUUUUAGAAAGCCAGCUCGUUUGAACGGGUACGAGUUCCCUCUUUGUUACUAACGAGGUGCCUUUCUGCGGUGUCCUGGUGGGCUCUGUGCUGGCAGAGGGAUCGUGGUGAGCACCAGGUGGGUGUCCCAGCACCAGGGUGAGGCACAGACGCAUCCCCGUGCAGUUUGAUAAGAGAGGAAGACGUUUAAUCUGCUUUCCAGGGUAGAUUAAGAACCCCGUAGACUGUAGCUAUGCAACAGCGUGCGUCUGACAGUGCAGGGCUCUGGGCAAAGGUGUAGCUGUUGUGAUAAAACAACUGCCUGAAUUUCAUUAACAAAACAGCGUGCCAAAGUGUCAUUAAGCAACGGAGGGCUCUAAAUAACCCUGUGACUGCUUGCCAGGCGGUGUGUGAGUCAGGAGGAGACCGCUGCAGCUGUACCUGUGUACCCACGUACCUAAGGGCAGAGACAGAAUCCAGCGGGGUCUGACGCUCACCUGAAGGGCCGGACCUGCAGCUCAGACUGCUGUUCUGCUUAGAUCUUACUUCCACAAAAAGUAAUCAGGUCGCUUUGCAAGCAGGUGUGUUAACUUAAAUCUGCAGGAGAAGAGCAUUUGCUGUGAACACGGCUCGUAUCUGUGCAGAUAGCGUUGGCAGGAGCUCUGCCUGGCUUCCCGCCUGGCUGGAGGCUUGUGUGUACCUAGGAAAUGGCUUGCCAGCUCUAACCUAUUCAUUCAAAGUCAGCCUUCAGUUAGAGCUCACACCCUUUCCUCCAGAAAAGAUUCAUGUGCUGUUACUCAUUUACUACUACGGCCUGUUUCUGGCAUCGCCCUGGAACACGGAACAGCCGGCUGGAGGGGCAGGCGGCCCCAGCUGCUGCAGGGAGCUGCCCUCGUGGCACUUAGCGCGAUGACUCGGGACCCCACGACUCGGGUCUGCGACACUACUGACUCUAUUAAUUGAUGGGAUAACUCGUCCUUUGGGAGAGCUCCUUCCUAAUCUCCAUUAGUUAGAGAUUGCUUUAUCCUUUGCAGCAAGGAAUUUUCAUCCAUUUACUCUGUGAGCUUUCUUAAAGUUUAUCCCUGUGAUUCUGGAUAUCCUUUAUUUCAGUUUGUCUCUUUCCUUACUCUUUGUUCCAAACCCAUUGCACCUCAGCCUCAGGAACGUCCUGGGGAGUAAGCAGAGUCGGGUCUGCAGGUGAAUUCUCCCUCCACCUAUAAAUACAGAUUCUUUUGACAGUUUUGUUUUAUUUCACCGAAAAUUGCCAAAAUACACUCAGAGCCUGUUCUCUCACUGUAUUUUCUUUUUACAUAGGAAAUGCCAAGGGCAGCUGACAAAAACUUCUUGUAUAAUUGCAGCUUUAUUUUGCCAAAUUCUGAGCCGGCAUUUGCUGCCAGCAGUCCCACCUCUUCCAUCCACGAGCUGGUGACAUUGAUGGAGCUGCAGCUGUUCCCUGGACGAGGUGGGCCGCCUGCAGCCCUCGCCCCACUCUUCCCACCCCACUGCCUCCCGCCCUGGGGUCUGCUCCAGCGCAGGGAGGUCUGGCACUCUUGAACCUGAGGUCAAAAACAAGAGGGAGGGAAAGAAUGGCCUUCAGGCCAGAGGAAGAAACCAGGGCAACCAGGCUCUUAACGUGAUAAAAGGGCUUUAUCUCAAAGCACUUAAACAAAACACACAAGCCUGAGAGAAGAGGCUCUGUCAAGUAUCCGCCGGGGACAUGGGGAAAUUGCAAAUCCCCGCAGGACAGAGGGGCUCUUUCUUCACAGUGUGCAGAGUCUGGAGCUGGGGCCGGGCAGGUGAUGGGCACUGGGGAAGGGGCACAGGGGGGGAUUUCCCAUUUGCAGUGGUGCACGGGCGCAGAUCAGACUGUGAGCAGCUGUUAGAGAACAGAUCAAGGGCACAGGGAGCGGGCAGCAGCGCUGGAAAGGGGCAGGAGAGAACGGGAGAUGGGGGACAUCCAGCAGCAGGUGGGCACAGUCCCAUCCUCUGCCUUUGGGGAGUCAGUGUAAAUCACUGCGGCCCCUCUGUGCUUGGUGGAUGGAUGGGCACAGUUUACAGGAGUUGGAGGGGAGGCUUGGGGCUUGCCGGAUACUUACAGAAUGUUACAGGGAGGACUGUGCCGUGGAGAGGAGAGGAGAGGUCUCUGGGCUGUUCCCAGGUGCAUGGGCACAGAGCUGCACACACCCUCCCGGGGUCUCUGGGCUGUGGGUCCCCGCCCAUCCCCAGCUGAUCUGCUUUCCCAAGGGGCUGAGGCAGCUUUGCUUAUGGUACCUGCUCCAAAGGGACGGGCUGUUCGCUCUGGCUUGUCUUGUCCCUCAUCCCUUUGGGACUCAGCCCCAUCCCUCCCCAUUUCUCCCUGACACGCAAUGCUUUGUGCCAGCAAUCUCCACCUCUGGGGAGAAGCCCUGCCCUGGCCGGGUGCCACUCUCUCUCUGGCUCCAUGUUCUUCAGCCUUUGGUGUGGGGCACGUCCUCAUCCCCUGCGGGUGCCCACAGUGUCCUUUCCCUGCCAUGGCUCAGUGAGGACCUCGCGGAGCUCCCAGCCAUGAAUUUCCCCUGGCACACCACUGCCAGGCUGUUAUUGCUGCGCGCUCCCUCCUGACUCCAUCUGUCUGCAUGGUGCUACCGCUCCGUGCCAAGAGGGCUCCGGGACCGCUGGGGUCACGGCUGCCCCAUUACGGGGCGAGAUUUAUCAUUGGCAGGUGUGCUGCGGGAUGGUAUAUUAUCCAGGAUUAUGAACUGUAACAGGAUAAUCUCUCUAAUGUAAUUCAAGCUCUCGACAUGGCUUAUGGCUCCUUAAUGUACCUCAGACUGAAGAAUUACAAGAACAUUUUCCCCCCUCCCUACCUUGUCAGCUCCUAAAUGAUUUAGGCAAUCGCCUGAAGCCAGAUCUUGGCCUCCAGUCAUAACUCAGAGCAGUUCAGUAAAUAUGAUGGGGAAGGA